GAUGAACGCUAGCGGCAGGCCUAAUACAUGCAAGUCGAACGGACCUUGAUUCUUCGGAAUCUUGGUUAGUGGCGCACGGGUGCGUAACGCGUAUGCAACCUACCUUCCACUGGGGGAUAGCCCGCCGAAAGGCGGAUUAAUACCGCAUAUGACCACAUGAGGGCAUCCGAGUGUGGUAAAAGCCGAGGCGGUGGAAGAUGGGCAUGCGUGCCAUUAGCUAGUUGGCGGGGUAAAGGCCCACCAAGGCGACGAUGGCUAGGGGUUCUGAGAGGAUGGUCCCCCACACUGGUACUGAGACACGGACCAGACUCCUACGGGAGGCAGCAGUAGGGAAUAUUGGGCAAUGGCCGAGAGGCUGACCCAGCCAUGCCGCGUGCAGGAAGAAGGCCUUCUGGGUUGUAAACUGCUUUUAUACGGGAAGAAAACGCCCCUGCGGGGGUAACUGACGGUACCGUAUGAAUAAGCACCGGCUAACUCCGUGC
rnacentral:rRNA from 1 species